rnacentral:rRNA from 1 species
UACGGAGGAUGCAAGCGUUAUCCGGAAUGAUUGGGCGUAAAGGGUCCGCAGGUGGCAGUGUAAGUCUGCUGUCAAAGAAUGAGGCUUAACCUCAUCAAGGCAGUGGAAACUACACAGCUAGAGUACGGUCGGGGUAGAAGGAAUUCCUGGUGUAGCGGUGAAAUGCGUAGAGAUCAGGAAGAACACCGGUGGCGAAAGCGUUCCGCUAGACCUGUACUGACACUGAGGGACGAAAGCUAGGGGAGCGAAUGGG